ACGACCGGCGCACGGGUGCGUAACGCGUAUGCAACCAACCCCGAAGACUGGGAUAGCCCGGCGAAAGCCGGAUUAAUACCGGAUGGUACAAUUUUGCUGUGAGGCGAGAUUGUUAAAGAGUGAUCACUUCGGGACGGGCAUGCGUUCCAUUAGGUAGUUGGUAGGGUAACGGCCUACCAAGCCGACGAUGGAUAGGGGUUCUGAGAGGAAGGUCCCCCACACUGGUACUGAGACACGGACCAGACUCCUACGGGAGGCAGCAGUGAGGAAUAUUGGUCAAUGGCCGGAAGGCUGAACCAGCCAAGUCGCGUGCAGGAAGACGGCCUUAUGGGUUGUAAACUGCUUUUAGACGGGAAUAAGAAGCGUCAUGCGUGGCGCAUUGCAGGUACCGUCAGAAUAAGCAUCGGCUAACUCCGUGCCAGCAGCCGCGGUAAUACGGAGGAUGCGAGCGUUAUCCGGAUUUAUUGGGUUUAAAGGGUGCGUAGGUGGGCGAUUAAGUCAGCGGUGAAAGUUUGUUGCUUAACGACAAAAUUGCCGUUGAAACUGGUUGUCUUGAGUAUGAUUGGGGCAGGCGGAAUGCGGGGUGUAGCGGUGAAAUGCAUAGAUAUCCCGCAGAACUCCGAUCGCGAAGGCAGCUUGCCAAGUCAAUACUGACACUGAAGCACGAAAGCGUGGGUAUCAAACAGGAUUAGAUACCCUGGUAGUCCACGCUGUAAACGAUGAUUACUGGCUGUUUGCAAAUAGAUGUAAGCGGCAAAGCGAAAGCAUUAAGUAAUCCACCUGGGGAGUACGCCGGCAACGGUGAAACUCAAAGGAAUUGACGGGGGCCCGCACAAGCGGAGGAACAUGUGGUUUAAUUCGAUGAUACGCGAGGAACCUUACCCGGGAUUGAACGCAGGGGGACGUAGUGUGAAAGCAUUAUUCCAGCAAUGGUCGCCUGCGAGGUGCUGCAUGGUUGUCGUCAGCUCGUGCCGUGAGGUGUCGGCUUAAGUGCCAUAACGAGCGCAACCCCUGCCGCCAGUUACCAUCGAGUAAAGUCGGGGACUCUGGCGGGACUGCCGGCGUAAGCCGCGAGGAAGGCGGGGAUGACGUCAAAUCAGCACGGCCCUUACAUCCGGGGCGACACACGUGUUACAAUGGCGCGGACAAAGGGCAGCGACCUGGUGACAGGGAGCGAAUCUCUAAACCGCGUCCCAGUUCGGAUCGGAGUCUGCAACUCGACUCCGUGAAGCCGGAUUCGCUAGUAAUCGCGCAUCAGCCAUGGCGCGGUGAAUACGUUCCCGGGCCUUGUACACACCGCCCGUCAAGCCAUGGGAGCCGGGGGUGCCUGAAGUUCGUGACC
rnacentral:rRNA from 1 species